rnacentral:rRNA from 1 species
UAUCUCUGUAGAGUCUGCAUAUCAAUAAGCGGAGGAAAAGAAACUAACAAGGAUUCCCCUAGUAACGGCGAGUGAAGCGGGAAGAGCUCAAAUUUGAAAUCUUCAAGGUUUUACCUUGACGAAUUGUAGUUUAAAGAAGUGUUUUCUGUUGGAGUUUUGGUAAAAGUUCUUUGGAAUAGGACAUCAUAGAGGGUGAGAAUCCCGUAUUUGGUCAUUCCUCCUAGCGUUGUGAUACACUUUCAACGAGUCGGAUUGUUUGGGAAUGCAGUCCAAAAUGGGUGGUAAAUUUCAUCUAAAGCUAAAUAUUGGCGAGAGACCGAUAGCGAACAAGUACCGUGAGGGAAAGAUGAAAAGAACUUUGAAAAGAGAGUUAAACAGUACGUGAAAUUGUCAAAAGGGAAGCGUUUGACACCAGUGUUGUUUUCUCGAAAACCAAUUAAAAAUGGUGGGAUUUUGUGUUGUAUUGACUUUAUCAGCUUUCUGCACUUUUUUCCUAUCUUUUUUAAUGCACUUUUCGUUUAACAAGUCAACAUCAAUUUCUUUUGCUGUAAGAGAGUCAUUGGAAGGUGGCUUUCUUUUCGGAGAAAGUGUUUAUAGCCUUUGACUUCUGCAGUCGGAGAGAUUGAGGUCUGCAGCGUAGAUCCUUCAGGGUUAGAUACAUUUGUGCUAAGCUAUAGCCUUUCAUAGACAACUUGUUGACUAUGAUCAGUCAUGUAGCUUACUCGCUUAUGCUAUUUUACCUACGCUUAGGAUGUUGAGUAGCGACAUACGCAC